GAAAUAUUUAUUAAAGCUGUAUCUUAAUUUUAAUUUUUUUGCUUCUGUGUUUCCGGACUUUUGUGUCUUUCCCGCUCUUUGGACUUCAUGCUUGGAUUUCUUGAUCAGCUUUCGUAAGGUCUGGACUGCAGGCCUACAGGUCUACAGUGAAGCCUUGUACGGUCCAUCCUGCUGGAAAUAUCAUCAGAAUUUCAAACAAAUGAAGUCAGCGCCAAAGAAAUUCCAGCAGAUGUGGAUUUUGAAAUUGGAUGAAAGCAUGGGGUUGAGACAGGUGCCAGGUGGACGUCGGUGGAGGAUGUGUAAAUUUAGACAGUGCCCGAGCAGAGCAGAGUCAAUACCCCUACAUUUGUGCAUCACCAAACACCUCCUGUUGAAGGCACAUCCGUUUUGUUUCCAUAUUCAAGCAUGUCCUGAGGUAGAAAUGUCACCUGGGCUGAAAGUAGUGCAUCAAAGAAGGACAGAGAAUUCUUUGUAUUAUUUUGGCAAGGUCAGUUUCCUUUUUCUUGACACUAACGUCCAUGUAACACUUGGACGUUUUCACUCUGUGCUUUGUCCUUGCUUUGAAAGAAAAGGCCCGGCUGAUUGGAGAAGACAGGUGACUGUUUGAGUUUGGGGUGAAGCCAAAGCCAAAGCAUUUUCCUUCACAAGGACAGUGGUGAAAGGAGGGCAAAGGGUGCCAUUCCAUCUGUGGGAGGUACAAUUCACAGUGGCAGACGAGCAAAACACCUGGGCUCUGGAGUACUGAUUUAAGACCUUGACGUUUACUUAGUUUUACUCAAGUUUUUUGUUUUUUUGGAAUUUGCAGACUCACUGUUAGAAGGAGUCAGUGAGGGAAAUGUGUGUUUCCUGCUCUCAGCAUAUUUUGCAUGUUAAUUACUGCCUUACAUUUCCCAUUAAGACCUGAUACAGUGCACUGCACUCUGCAUAAAAAAAAAAAAAAAGACGACGAGAAAACUGUAAAUAAAGUGUUUCGCACUUCAUUUAGGAAUAUUUUAGUGACGGGUGUUGGACAAAGUUAUUAGAAGAAAAGGGAACUUAAAUAUAAAUAUAUGAAUAAAAAUGUUGGUUGUGGUUUUAUCACCUUUUAUUCAUCCUGUUUUACUAUAAGAGUUAGGGCAUAUAUUUUCACUCUUUAAUCACUUAUAUUUACAGUAUUUAAACCCUAAUUUAGUAACAUUUGUUAACUAAUUAGAUACUUGUAAUUCAAAAUGGGGAAAAUCUUUUAAUGAUUUAAUAUGCAAUAAAACGAAUUCCGCUUUUUUCUCUGACUAAUGUAAUGCUACUGAUUUAAAAUGAACUGUUACAGAAGUUGAAAAACACUGGUUCAGAUAUAAUAGUAGAGCAAAAAAAAUCUUGCUGAAAAGCAGUAGUUUAGCCUUUAGCAUUUGUCACUUCCCCACGUUUUGAGCAGCAUGCCUGCUGGGCUGAGAUCACAGCUACUUUAUUUGAUAUCAGUGUUUGAAAUGUGAUGUCAACACCGUCGGCCAAUUAUUAAAAAAGUAAAUACGUACGCUUUUACACUAAUAGUGUACACAAUCUCUAGCCGCUAUGAAUUCCUUGCUAGCUGAAGAGGUCAUUUUCAAGCAACAAGAAAGUUAGCAACACUGCUAACGCUACAACCAAGAUAUUACAGUGACAGCGGUGAGACACGCCCACUAUGAACAGCAGAUAGACGAUUGGCUCGGAUGGCGUCAUGUGCACUGAACCCUUGUUCUGAGCAGCUCACCUCUGAGUUCACCUCUAUUUCAAACCUGUCUCAUUCAAUUGCCUCAGACUGUUUCAGGUCCCACAAUCACCCCAGUCCGCGAAAACCAGCGGCACCGCACCAUAGAUAUAUAUACCAUAGAAUCUACAGUAAAGCUUCACCAGUGAGAAGGAACAUAAAUUACAAGGAGUAAAGAAUCUGUUUACAUCAAAGGUACUUCAUGCACUCUCCGUGAUGUCAUGGCUGACUGGCACUACAUGUAAGAUGGAUGACUUUCUCCCAAAGAACCUAGAGGAGUCAGGAGGCACAUCAAUCGUAACAGCAGAACGACCUGAUAAAGAUGACAGUGUUGAAACACCAGUGGCUAUCUGUAGAUGUAAGUCUCUGUGGGUUAAAUAGAUUUUAAAGAUCUUAUUAGAUGGUAGUUUAUUGACAAAAUGUUGGAGAAAAAAAAUUCUGGCACCAGCAAAUUGGUCAAAGGUUGACGAAGGACAGUGAGAUAGGACCAAACACAGAGCGAUAGAUAGGCAACGUCAGCGAUCAAGUGUGUGAUUUGUGUUGAUGAAAAGUGCGAAAGCAUAUGUAUAAGAUUGACACUGAAGGGUCAGCCUCUCUGAAAUGUGAAUAAAUAAACUAGAAAAGAAAAGAACACAAGUCAAAGUUGCAUGUGGAGGAAGAGAAAAGGAUAAUUGGUCUCUGAGGACGUGAUACAUGAUCUGAUCUCUGCUCUGGAAUGGUUCUGUGCUGUUUUAGAAUUUACAUUCACAGUAGUGCUGGCACCAAGCCCAGCUUGAUCAACUCUCGCACAUUUGUACUUACAUAACACUUAAGAGAAUAAAGACAUAAACUCAGGUAGUGCACGUCAGCAGCACUGGAGUGCUCCAUACAGUAAG